AACGAACGCUGGCGGCAGGCCUAACACAUGCAAGUCGAACGCUGUAGCAAUACAGAGUGGCAGACGGGUGAGUAACGCGUGGGAACAUACCCUUCGGUUCGGAACAACUCAGGGAAACUUGAGCUAAUACCGGAUACGUGCGAGAGCAGAAAGAUUCAUCGCCGAAGGAUUGGCCCGCGUUCGAUUAGCUUGUUGGUGAGGUAACGGCUCACCAAGGCGACGAUCGAUAGCUGGUCUGAGAGGAUGAUCAGCCACAUUGGGACUGAGACACGGCCCAAACUCCUACGGGAGGCAGCAGUGGGGAAUAUUGGACAAUGGGCGAAAGCCUGAUCCAGCCAUGCCGCGUGAGUGAUGAAGGCCCUAGGGUUGUAAAGCUCUUUCGUCAGGGACGAUAAUGACGGUACCUGAAGAAGAAGCCCCGGCUAACUUCGUGCCAGCAGCCGCAGUAAC
rnacentral:rRNA from 1 species